rnacentral:rRNA from 1 species
UACGUAGGGGGCGAGCGUUGUCCGGAUUCAUUGGGCGUAAAGAGCUCGUAGGCGGUUCGGUAAGUCAGGUGUGAAAUCUCCACGCUCAACGUGGAGGGGCCACCUGAUACUGCCGUGACUCGAGUCCGGUAGGGGAGUGUGGAAUUCCCGGUGUAGCGGUGAAAUGCGCAGAUAUCGGGAGGAACACCUGUGGCGAAAGCGGCGCACUGGACCAUAACUGACGCUGAGGCGCGAAAGCUAGGGGAGCAAACAGG